CCCAGGCAGAACAUAGCAAGUCAUAUCUCAAGGUUAUUGGCAGGGAAAUAGACAUAAUAGCAUAGAGGGUAUUAAAUAUUUUCUACAACAGGAAGGAUAUCAUAGUUUCUUUUCUAAUUAGAAGAAAUGAUCUGUGUGGAGCUGGUGAGGUGAAUCUGUGACUCAUCAUCCUGCUUUCAGUAUUGAUUCUAUAAACACACAGUUUACAGGGAGAAGAAGUAAUCAUGGCUAGUUUCUUUGUCUUGUUUGUUUGUUUUUGGUGUUGGUGCUGGAGAGAGAGCCCCUCGUCUCAUACUUAGAAAUCCAGCGCUUCAGCCUACAGCCUAAUUACAGCCAUUAAAUUAAAUAAUUUUAAUUGUGAAAUGAAUCACCAGGCAGGGUGGUGCAAGCCUGUGAUCCAGUACUCAGGAAAGGGGAGACAGGAGAGUCAGGAGUUCAAGACAGCCUCGGGUACGGAACAGAUUAGAGGCUAGCCUGGCGUAAAGAGGCCUGCCUUAGAAAGACAGACAACAGUGGAGGUAGUAGCUUAUGCCUGUAACCCCCGCACUCAGGAGGUAGAUAUGAGAUGCUCGGGUCAAAGGCAUUCUCUGCUAUACACGGAGACCAAGGCCAGCCUGGACAGCCUGAGAGCCCGAAUCAACAAAAACAAAACAAAACAAAACAAAAAAAAAAUCAAGCAAACAAACAGGAGAUGCUUUAAUCUGAAUAUGGCCAGGCAAGAUGGCGCACACCUGUGAUGUGAGCACGCGGGAAGCCAGCCAGCGCAAUAUAACGAGACACUAUCUCAAACAACACAAAACAAAAUUAUGUAGUUAUGUUAAAUGUAUAGUUCAGUGUAUUGUGAACUAUAUAAUGUUCAGUCUUCUUAGCCAAUAGAUGCUUGUUUCUCCUUCUGGAAGGGAGCUCGAGACAGACUCUGUCAGUGUAGACUUGGCGGAAUUCCCAUGAUGCCGUGCUUUCCCGAGUCUUCAGUUACUGGAUUACAGGCACGCCGUACUACGCGGCGUACUACACACCGUACCGCACUCCGUCCACCAGUGGUGCCCACUGCUCCAUCAUUGGCACUGCUCCAUUCUCAACCCUGGGGGAAGCAGAUGAAGCUUUUUACAGUCCAAGCUGAUAUUGAGAAUGAGGGGAUUUGUCUGCCUCAGGUCAUGCUGGGGAGAUCAGCAGGGGGAAUUAUGGGGGAAUAAUGUAGAAGCCCUUCCCUAUUGCCUUCCACACUUCUUUUUUUUUUUUUUUUUUUUUGGUUCUUUUUUUCGGAGCUGGGGACCGAACCCAGGGCCUUGCGCUUCCUAGGUAAGCGCUCUACCACUGAGCUAAAUCCCCAGCCCGCCUUCCACACUUCUUAUCUGGGCAAUGCCUCGCUGGGGAAUCUACGCCUUGGCCCUGCAUAUCUCUGUGUCACUUCAUAUCAGGUGACGGGACCUGCUUCUUUUUAGACUCAUGUAUACCAAGCUGUUUUACAUUCCGAGCAAUUACAGUUGGGAUAAAAAUCACUUUAUUUUAAUCCAUUCAUAAAUAAAUACAUCAUUCACAGCUGAUUUAAGAUGGCCAAACACUUGCCCAGCCUUGAACUCUACACAUCUCCGAACUUGUAUACACUGAGAACUUUCCCACGGCUGUUCUGGAAAAGGGUGCUACGGUCAACAAGAAGUUUGCAACAGAGUCACACUUUUGGCAACCCCUGUGGAAGGGUCAUUUGACCCCAAAGGAGUUGGCCAUCAGAGCAGACUUUCCAUCUCUCCAGUUUGAACCUCUUGAUUAGACUAAUUCUGCAUUUCUAACUCUGCACUCCCGCCUUGAAAGCUUCACAGAUCAUGACAUCAGCCUGAUUCUGGGCACACUCCAGAAACUGUGAAAAAAACAAACAAACAAACAAACAAACAAACAAAGUACUGCCGGAUUUCUGCUCUACCAGCUGGCUAUCCUGAGGCUCCAGACAAGUGACAUCAACCAAGCUUUGGUGGCCCAGCAUUGCCACAUCCACUGCACCCCAUGGUGACGGUAUGACCCUGUGUGUGCCCCACCACAGAGUCCACAGCCACAUGGGUGAGCCGUGAGGCCUGGCUACCCAGAAGCAGCAGCACUAGGAAAGCCAGUUGCAGCUGGUGGGCCUGAUGCUGAAGACACAGCUGCAGGUGUGGGCCAGGGGACAGAUGUGGUCUGAGUCAUCCGACUGACCAGAGGGGCCACCUGGAAGAGUGGUUCUGGCUUCCACAUGGCAUUUGGAGUACUCGUCCAGUGGAUCUCUAGAGCCGGAAAUCCCUGCCUGUCCAUCACUAUUUAUUCAUUCAUUCAUUCAUUCAUUCAUUCAUUCUGUUUUUGGAGACAGGGCUUCUCUAAGAUCUGACUGCCACUACCUCUCAAGUGCUAGGAUUAAAGGCUUGUGUCACC